AUGUUCUCUGUCGCUUUGCUGCUGUUGCUGGCUGCUGGAGCCUGUGUGAAGUGUCAGCAGCUGACACAGCCAGCCUCUGUGACUGUGCAGCCAGGUCAGAGUCUGACCAUCAGCUGUCAGGUCUCUUAUUCUCUGAGCAUCUACACAGCUUGGAUCAGACAGCCUGCUGGGAAAGGACUGGAGUGGAUUGGGAUGAAAUUUACUGGAAACUCACUGUACAAAGAUUCCCUCAAGAACAAGUUUAGUAUCGACUUAGACACUUACAGUAAAACAGUGACUCUGAACGGACAGAAUAUGCAGCCAGAUGAUUCUGCUGUGUAUUACUGUGGCAGAUGCGACCACAGUGACACAAACCAGCAGCAGAGCUGUACCAUAACGUCUCACAGCCUGAACUUGAAAAACACACCAGAGGUGGAGCUCAGAGACCACUGA